GCGCUAAUGGUGAAAUGGUAUCACGCGGGCCUGUGGAGCUUGCGUCCCGAGUUCGAUUCUCGGUUAGCGCC
rnacentral:tRNA from 1 species